rfam:Spirochaeta sp. LTC14_002_19_P3 _150, whole genome shotgun sequence.
GAUCAAGCGAAUAAGGGUCCAUGGUGGAUGCCUUGGAGCUGUCCGGCGAAGAAGGGCGCGGUAAGCUGCGAAAAGCCUCGGGGAGGAGCAAACAUCCUUUGAUCCGGGGGUGCCCGAAUGGGGUAACCCAUGCGCCAGUAAUGGCGUAUAUCAUGCAGUGAAUCCAUAGCUGUAUGAGGCUAUACCUGGGGAACUGAACCAUCUAAGUACCCAGAGGAAAAGAAAUCAGAUAUGUUCCAGCCGAUCCGUUGGGUUGGCUGGAACGAGAUUCCCUGAGUAGCGGCGAGCGGAAGGGGAAGAGCCCAAACCGGUGAUGUUACGGCAUUGCCGGGGUUGUAGGGCGCUUAAUAACGGAUGUGAAUAUCUAGCGGAACAGUACAGGAAAGUCUGGCCAAAGUGGGUGAUAGCCCCGUAUGCGAAAGAUUGAAGCAUUUAUAGGCGUACCUGAGUACAGCGGGACACGAGAAAUCCUGCUGGAAUCUGGGUGGACCACCAUCCAAGGCUAAAUACGAGACAGCUACCGAUAGCGAACGAGUACCGUGAGGGAAGAGGUGAAAAGCACCCCGUGAGGGGAGUGAAAGAGAACCUGAAACCGUGGACCUACAAUUAGUCGGAGUCAGAUUUAAUCUGAUGACGGCGUGCCUUUUGUAGAAUGAGCCUGCGAGUUGUCAUAUCAUGCAAGGUUAAGGCAUUGUAGUGCCGGAGCCGGAGGGAAACCAAGUCUUAAAUGGGCGAUUGGAGUAUGGUGUGGCAGACCCGAAGCCGAGUGAUCUACCUAUGGCCAGGCUGAAGCUUUGGUAACACAAAGUGGAGGGCCGAACUCUAGUCCGUUGAAAAGGGCAGAGAUGAGCUGUGGGUAGGAGUGAAAGGCUAAACAAACUCGGAGAUAGCUGGUUCUCCCCGAAAUGGCUUUAGGGUCAGCGUCAUAUGUUUAAUAGCGGAGGUAGAGCACUGAUUAGGCUAGGGCCUGUCACAGGGUACCAAACUUAGUCAAACUCCGAAUGCCGCUAUUCCAGAAUAUGGCAGUGAGACUACGGGUGAUAAGAUUCGUGGUCGAGAGGGAAACAGCCCGGACCGUCAGCUAAGGUCCCUAAACUAUGCUAAGUGGAAAAGGAAGUAUAAUUGCCAAGACAGCCAGGAGGUUGGCUUAGAAGCAGCCAUCCCUUAAAAGAGUGCGUAAUAGCUCACUGGUCGAGUAAUGAUGCGCCGAUAAUGUAACGGGGCUAAGCAUAGUACCGAAGCUGCGGCUCAUUGGUUUUUAACCGAUGGGGGUAGGGGAGCAUUCUGUAAGCCUGAGAAGGUGUACCGGAAGGUAUGCUGGAGGUAUCAGAAGGGAGAAUGCAGGCAUGAGUAACGAAAAGGGAGGUGAGAUUCCUCCCCGCCGAAAGCCGAAGGUUUCCUGGGUAAAGUCAAUCUUCCCAGGGUGAGUCGGCCCCUAAGGCGAGGCCGAAAGGCGUAGCCGAUGGGAAACGGGUUAAUAUUCCCGUACAUCUGGUAAUUUCGAUGGAGUGACGCAUAGAGGGAGUCCCAGCCGGGCGAUGGUUGCCCCGGUUCAAGCGGUUAGGCGUUGAUCGUAAUUGGUAAAUCCGUUACGAGAGCUGAGCCGUGAAGAGGAGUGAACCUACGGGGGAUCGAAGAGGGAUAACUUGUCGUGCCAGGAAAUAACUUCUAAGGUUAGGUUAUCAGGUACCGUACCGCAAACCGACACAGGUAGGCGAGCAGAGCAUGCUAAGGCGCACGGAAGAACUCACGUUAAGGAACUCGGCAAAAUGCAUACGUAACUUAGGGAGAAGUAUGGCCUACCCCGGGAGGGGAGGCUGCAGAGUCCAGGCCCAAGCGACUGUUUACCAAAAACACAGGUCACUGCGAACCAGUAAUGGGAUGUAUAGUGACUGACACCUGCCCGGUGCUGGAAGGUUAAGAGGAGUUGUCAGGCUUUUAGCUGAAGCAGCGAAUUGAAGCCCCAGUAAACGGCGGCCGUAACUAUAACGGUCCUAAGGUAGCGAAAUUCCUUGUCGGGUAAGUUCCGACCCGCACGAAUGGUGUAACGAUUUGGGCACUGUCUCAACGUGAGAUCCGGUGAAAUUAAACUCCCGGUGAAGAUGCCGGGUACUUGUGGUUAGACGGAAAGACCCCGUGAACCUUUACUGUAACCUGAUAUUGGUAUAUGGAUUACGAUGUGUAGGAUAGGUGGGAGACUUUGAAAUUUGGUCGUCAGGCCAGAUGGAGUCACUGUUGAAAUACCACCCUUUGUGAUACAUGUAUCUAACAUAAUUCCCUGAAUCGGGAUUGUGGACAUUGUCAGGCGGGCAGUUUGACUGGGGCGGUCGCCUCCCAAAGCGUAACGGAGGCGCGCGAAGGUUCUCUUUUUACGGUUGGAAAUCGUGAAUGAAGUGUAAAGGCAUAAGAGAGCUUGACUGCGAGAGAGACAUUUCGAGCAGGUACGAAAGUAGGUCUUAGUGAUCUGGCGGUUCUGAGUGGAAGGGCCGUCACUUAACGGACAAAAGGUACUCCGGGGAUAACAGGCUUAUCCUGCCCAAGAGUUCACAUCGACGGCAGGGUUUGGCACCUCGAUGUCGGCUCAUCGCAUCCUGGGGCUGAAGCAGGUCCCAAGGGUAUGGCUGUUCGCCAUUUAAAGCGGUACGUGAGCUGGGUUCAGAACGUCGCGAGACAGUUCGGUCCCUAUCUGCCACAAGCGUUGGAUGUUUGAGAGGGUCUGUUUUUAGUACGAGAGGACCGAAAUGGACGAACCUCUGGUGUACCAGUUAUCCUGCCAAGGGUAAGUGCUGGGUAGCUACGUUCGGAAGGGAUAACCGCUGAAAGCAUCUAAGUGGGAAGCCCUCCUCAAGAUGAGACAUCCCAUCCUCUUUAAGAGGACUGAAGGAACCUGGGAGAAGACCAGGUUGAUAGGCCGGCUGUGCAAGUGUGGUAACAUAUUCAGCAGACCGGUACUAAUUAUCCGUGAGGCUUGAUCAU